rnacentral:rRNA from 1 species
UACGAAGGGUGCAAGCGUUACUCGGAAUUACUGGGCGUAAAGCGUGCGUAGGUGGUGAGUUAAGUCUGUCGUGAAAGCCCCGGGCUCAACCUGGGAAUGGCAUUGGAUACUGGCGAGCUAGAGUGCGGUAGAGGGUAGUGGAAUUCCCGGUGUAGCAGUGAAAUGCGUAGAGAUCGGGAGGAACAUCUGUGGCGAAGGCGACUACCUGGACCAGCACUGACACUGAGGCACGAAAGCGUGGGGAGCAAACAGG